CCGCAAAAACAAAACACUGAUCAGAUGCCUGAUACAAUACAUUCCAUUAAACCUUUGGGACAACAUGAGGCAUUUUUCUGAGAGAA
rnacentral:snoRNA from 9 species